GCGGGCCGUUGGCAGGAAGUGGAUGCGAACCCGGCGAGGGCAGAGCGGCUCCGGUUCCGCUGCCGCCGCCGCGCCUCCCCCGCACCGACCCCGCGCCCCCCGCCGCCGCCACCACCAUCACCAUCACCAUGUUUCUCACGCGCUCUGAGUACGACCGGGGCGUGAACACUUUCUCUCCGGAGGGGAGGCUGUUCCAAGUGGAGUAUGCCAUCGAGGCCAUUAAGCUCGGCUCUACGGCCAUCGGCAUCCAGACCUCGGAGGGCGUGUGCCUGGCUGUGGAGAAGAGGAUCACCUCCCCACUCAUGGAGCCCAGCAGCAUUGAGAAGAUUGUAGAAAUAGAUUCCCAUAUAGGGUGUGCCAUGAGCGGCUUAAUAGCGGAUGCCAAGACUUUGAUUGAUAAAGCAAGAGUGGAAACACAGAAUCACUGGUUCACUUACAAUGAAACCAUGACUGUGGAGAGCGUGACGCAGGCUGUGUCCAACCUGGCGCUGCAGUUUGGGGAGGAGGAUGCAGACCCCGGUGCAAUGUCUCGUCCAUUUGGUGUCGCGCUGCUUUUUGGAGGAGUUGAUGAGAAGGGACCUCAGCUGUUUCACAUGGACCCCUCGGGGACGUUCGUGCAGUGCGAUGCCAGAGCCAUCGGGUCCGCCUCGGAAGGAGCGCAGAGCUCACUGCAGGAGGUGUACCAUAAGUCCAUGACGCUGAAAGAAGCAAUCAAAUCUUCCCUCGUCAUCCUGAAGCAAGUUAUGGAGGAGAAACUGAAUGCAACCAACAUUGAGGUAACUGUGGCUCUCUUAGCAGCGUGCCCGGGGACAGUCUUACAGUCUGAACUGCCUGCUCAUAGUGGGCUGGGAAGCGCUGGGAGCUUGAUUUUGGCUUCUGGAUGUGUGCAGCCGGGCCUGUGUGCUGGGCUGGGCCAGGAGUGCUGGUGCAAGCAGUUCUCCUGGGCUGCGGGGCCGUGGGCUGCGUGUGGGGGGGGCGCUGCCCCUCCUGGCCUUCCAUGGGCAGAGCCAGCUGCCGUGCCAGCAGGAUCACUUUUUCUUCCCCUGUGUUCAGCCAUUCUUUUUUCCCCUGCUACUCGUAAUAUUAGAAGGAAUGAAAAUUAUACAGCUCCCGGACUUGCUAUAUUCGGGCUGGGAUGGUAGCCAACAAUCCCUUGGGCAGAAGGGCCGGGGAGGUGAAGCCUCCAGGAAUGACUGUGCUGUGCCAAACUGCUGCUCUCACGGGGCUCAAUGUGAGCCAGGUGUGUGGUGUCCCUGCAGCCUCCAUCGCCGGGCCGUAACGCUGCUGCUCAGGCUAUGAGAUGCCAGACCUUUGAGAAUCACGUCGCUCUGACUGCUCCUGCUGUUCUCCCAUUCCUGUCCUCUGAGCGCUGGGAGUCCAUUUCCCAAACAGCCUUCAAGUGUGCACCCCGUUGCUUUUAUUAACUGCUGCUGCUGGAGGCUCUCCCGAUGUGCUUAACUGCCUUCGUCAGAGGGGGAAGGAGCCCCACACUGCCCCACAAUGAUGCCAGGCUGCAUUCUGCUUCCCAGCUGCGCCCCAUCACACACAGAGCGGCUCAUUCUGAGCAGCUUCAGGGCUCCUCGGGAGGCUCUGCUGUACAGUGUGAGGAACCGAGGCAGUGCUGCAUGUACAGUAUCCUUAUGGCAUGUCCCCGUUUGACAGGGCUUAACUGUGCUUGGCAGGGCUCUGAACCUAUGGAGGAAUCACAUUGGGGUUAAGCACGAGAGGAAUGUGCCGAGGAUUAAAAGGUCACCAUUGACUCAAGACACCCUUCUGGUUGAAAAUCUUUCACUGACGGAACUGCUUUGCUUUCCAGCUUUGCACAACUGUGCGCUGCUCCACUUUGUAUCCCCUCUUUCCUGCGUGGGGUUUUUCCUCCUAGCAGCAAGGGGAAUGGGGAAUGUGGCGAUGGGAGAGCUGAACCCAUGGGCAGCAAUGGAGCCUGAAACGGUGUUCUGCUUUUACAUGAAUUAUUCCUGCAGAGGCUGUGAGGGAAUGGUUUGGUGGAGCUUUGGUGCCAGGUCAGCACAUGGGCGUGAUUUGGGUGACCUGGAGUGGCAUCUGGAAGUCCCUGACAGCCCGGUGUGCCCCAUAAGGCUGGGCAGUCACAGCGUGCUGCUGGGGGCUGAGCCUGCAAGCUGCAGCCUGGGGCACAUCGCUGCCCGCAGCCCUGCACACCGGGCACUCCGGAUGCCAUCACGGUGUCGGGGUAUCUGUGAGCAUCCCUGGGAGCUCCAGCAGCGCUUGGUGCCCGCAGCAGCCACCGGGCUGUUGGGCUCCCAUGCUGGGUGCAAACAGCAGUCGGUCCCACGUGCGUUGCUUUGGCAGCACUGCCGUUCUGCAGUCCCUCACGUCCUGGUGAUGCAUCCCAGCUGCCUGGGCAGGGCGCUGUGCCCGGCGCUGUGCUGCUGCCACCCGCUCCCCUCGCCCAGCAGGCGGUUCCAAGGCACAUCCCACUGACCAGCAACCAGAAUGCAGUUUUGCAGAGUGAAUCUGCGGUCCUCCUUUGGGUAUUUUGCUAUCCUGUCCUCUCGCCGCACAGAGCACUGCCCACAGGUUCUGCAGGUGGGGCUGCGGGGCUGAGCUGCAGCGUGAGGAGCUCCCUUAGCACAGUGCCCUUCCCCAGCAAGCAGCAGCAGGGCCUGAGCGCUCCCCAUACGUGUUCCCUGCCACUGCUACUAUGAGGAGACCGAGUCAAUUAAAAGCUAUUUCUGCAGCAAGCUGCUAUUUUAGGGAAUCAAAGAGCGUGUUACGGGCUGGGAUGAUCUUGCUGGGCUGGCAGAUCAGGCAGCCGGGAAGGAACAGCUGCUCUGUCUGCUGUGGCUGCUCUCUGUUCCGUGCCCCAUGCUGUCGCUUCACAUAUGCAGGCACAUUAACCCCUUGCUCCUUCUCUUUCAGCUCGCCACCGUGGAGCCGGGCAUGAAGUUCCACAUGUACACGAAAGAGGAGCUGGAAGAGGUCAUCAAGGAUAUCUGAAAGGGACAGAGGCU